UGCAUAUCAAUAAGCGGAGGAAAAGAAACCAACAGGGAUUACCUCAGUAACGGCGAGUGAAGCGGUAACAGCUCAAAUUUGAAAUCUGGCCGCAAGGUCCGAGUUGUAAUUUGUAGAGGAUGUUUCGAGCAUGGUCUGGCCUAAGUUCCUUGGAACAGGACGUCAUAGAGGGUGAGAAUCCCGUAUGCGGUCAGGUGCCUACGCUCAUGUGAAACUCCUUCGACGAGUCGAGUUGUUUGGGAAUGCAGCUCAAAAUGGGUGGUAAAUUUCAUCUAAAGCUAAAUAUUGGCCAGAGACCGAUAGCGCACAAGUAGAGUGAUCGAAAGAUGAAAAGCACUUUGGAAAGAGAGUUAAACAGUACGUGAAAUUGUUGAAAGGGAAGCGCUUGCAACCAGACUUGCGCGCGGCUGAUCAUCCGGGCUUCUGCCCGGUGCACUCGGUCGCGCUCAGGCCAGCAUCGGUUUUGGUGGCGGGAUAAAGGCCUUGGGAAUGUAGCUCCUCUCGGGGAGUGUUAUAGCCCAGGGUGCAAUGCCGCCUACCGGGACCGAGGACCGCGCUUCGGCUAGGAUGCUGGCGUAAUGGUUGUAAGCGACCCGUCUUGAAACACGGACAA
rnacentral:rRNA from 1 species